rnacentral:rRNA from 1 species
UGUCUCCGUUGGUGAACCAGCGGAGGGAUCAUUACCGAGUUUUCAACUCCCUAACCCUUCUGUGAACCUACCUAUCGUUGCUUCGGCGGACUCGCCCCAGCCCGGACGCGGACUGGACCAGCGGCCCGCCGGGGACCUCAAACUCUUGUAUUCCAGCAUCUUCUGAAUACGCCGCAAGGCAAAACAAAUGAAUCAAAACUUUCAACAACGGAUCUCUUGGCUCUGGCAUCGAUGAAGAACGCAGCGAAACGCGAUAAGUAAUGUGAAUUGCAGAAUCCAGUGAAUCAUCGAAUCUUUGAACGCACAUUGCGCCCGCCAGCAUUCUGGCGGGCAUGCCUGUUCGAGCGUCAUUUCAACCCUCGACCUCCCCUUGGGGGGGUCGGCGUUGGGGACCGGCAGCACACCGCCGGCCCUGAAAUGGAGUGGCGGCCCGUCCGCGGCGACCUCUGCGCAGUAAUACAGCUCGCACCGGAACCCCGACGCGGCCACGCCGUAAAACACCCAACUUCUGAACGUUGACCUCGAAUCAGGUAGGACUACCCGCUGAACUUAAGCAUAUCAAUAAGCGGA